GAUGAACGCUGGCGGCGUGCCUAAUACAUGCAAGUCGAGCGAACAGACGAGGAGCUUGCUCCUCUGACGUUAGCGGCGGACGGGUGAGUAACACGUGGAUAACCUACCUAUAAGACUGGGAUAACUUCGGGAAACCGGAGCUAAUACCGGAUAAUAUAUUGAACCGCAUGGUUCAAUAGUGAAAGACGGUUUUGCUGUCACUUAUAGAUGGAUCCGCGCCGCAUUAGCUAGUUGGUAAGGUAACGGCAUACCAAGGCAACGAUGCGUAGCCGACCUGAGAGGGUGAUCGGCCACACUGGAACUGAGACACGGUCCAGACUCCUACGGGAGGCAGCAGUAGGGAAUCUUCCGCAAUGGGCGAAAGCCUGACGGAGCAACGCCGCGUGAGUGAUGAAGGUCUUCGGAUCGUAAAACUCUGUUAUUAGGGAAGAACAAAUGUGUAAGUAACUAUGCACGUCUUGACGGUACCUAAUCAGAAAGCCACGGCUAACUACGUG
rnacentral:rRNA from 1 species